GACGAACGCUGGCGGCGUGCUUAACACAUGCAAGUCGAACGGAAAGGCUCUACUUUGCUGGAGUACUCGAGUGGCGAACGGGUGAGUAACACGUGGGUAAUCUGCCCUUCACUCUGGGAUAACUUUGGGAAACUGGGUCUAAUACUGGAUAUGACCUUCUUCUUUAUGGUGUUUGUUGGAAAGUUUUUCGGUGUAGGAUGAGCCCGCGGCCUAUCAGCUUGUUGGUGGGGUGAUGGCCUACCAAGGCCUCGACGGGUAGCCGGCCUGAGAGGGUGAUCGGCCACAUUGGGACUGAGAUACGGCCCAGACUCCUACGGGAGGCAGCAGUGGGGAAUAUUGCACAAUGGGCGGAAGCCUGAUGCAGCAACGCCGCGUGAGGGAUGACGGCCUUCGGGUUGUAAACCGCUUUCGGCAGGGACGAAGCGUAAGUGACGGUAACGGGAGAAGAAGCACCGGCUAACUAUGUG
rnacentral:rRNA from 1 species